AUGUUUCCUCUUGCAUUUGGUUUUAUUGAGGUUGAGGAUGACGAUAAUUGGACAUGGUUCAUGACACAGUUGCAUAGAGCACUAGGUCCAAUUCCAAAGCUUGCUAUAAGUACCAAUGCAUGUAAAGGUUUAGAAAAUGCAGUUAAGAAAGUUUUCCCUCAAGCAGAACAAAGGGAGUGUUUUAGGCAUUUGAUGCAGAAUUUUUCCAAAAGAUAUUGCGGUGACAUAAUUGGCCGUAUGUGGGCUGCUGGAAAGACAUAUAGACCUUCAAUGUUUGAGUACCACUUCUCCAAGGUUCUAGAAUCAAGUCAAACUGUUGGUAAGUACUUACAUGAUUACCACAACUUGAAGUGGAUGAGGUCUAGUUUUGACACCAAAGUCAAGUGUGAUUACAUUCAUAACAACCUUGUCGAGUCCUUCAAUAAUUGGAUAAGAGGAAUCAAAGAUCUUCCUGUAGAUGGGCUAGCUGACACACUUAAUGGAAAGAUAAUGAAAUUAAUUGAAAAAAGAAGAAUGAUUGGGGAAAAGCUACAUGGAGAAAUGUUGCCAACAGUUGUACAACAAGUGAAUAAUAGAACAGGAGGGUUUGGGCACUUGAAAGUAACUAGAGCAAGUAACUGGAAAUUAUAA
rnacentral:rRNA from 1 species